UCGGGAAUUUUGGGCAAUGGGCGAAAGCCUGACCCAGCAACGCCGCGUGAGGGAUGAAGUAUUUCGGUAUGUAAACCUCGAAAGAAUGGGAAGAAUAAAUGACGGUACCAUUUAUAAGCUCCGGCUAACUACGUGCCAGCAGCCGCGGUAAUACGUAGGGAGCAAGCGUUGUUCGGAUUUACUGGGCGUAAAGGCGCGUAGGCGGCGCGGUAAGUCACUUGUGAAAUCUCUGAGCUUAACUCAGAACGGCCAAGUGAUACUGCUGGGCUAGAGUGCGGAAGAGGCAACCGGAAUUCUUGGUGUAGCGGUGAAAUGCGUAGAUAUCAAGAGGAACACCUGAGGCGAAGGCGGGUUGCUGGGCCGACACUGACGCUGAUGCGCGAAAGCCAGGGGAGCAAACG
rnacentral:rRNA from 1 species